ensembl:snoRNA SNORA70 Small nucleolar RNA SNORA70
CUGCAGUCAAUGAAGCCAACUGGGUUCCUCUGCUGGCAGGUGCCCAGGGCAUUGGCUGCAAACAGCAGCUUCCUCAGGAGCUUACAUGACCUGUGGCUUGUAUGUGCUACCCUAAGAGACCUUGGAGACACUG